AAUGCUUUUGCUCAUUAAUUCAGCAAGUAACUCACAUUCCAAUGGAAGCAGAAGAGGUUGAGCCCACAAUCAAACUGUCACUGAAUUCUAAAACAAAACUGAAGUAUGGACUUCUUCUCAUUAGGGUCACGUUGCCAGAACUAUACAAUGAAAUGCCUGGCCGUGAGAGUCCAGCAAUUUUCUUUGCUCUCAGAGUUCCUGUGUGGAAAAGAAAUCUGAGAACUCCAUGGUGAUGGACUUGUCCCUGGAAUAAUGUUAAGAAGACUGUGGUAGGGCAGUGCAUUUGCUUCUCUUGAGGAUCUUGUUAAAUGAGAUUCAGAUUCAGCAGCUCCAAGAUGAGGAAGCCUGCAGCCUCUGAAGGUUACGGGUGCUGUCGGAGCCACGAGGAAGAGCCAUUAGCCCAGGGAGAUGCUGAGGGUUGGGGCAUCUCCAUGGAUGAGCUCCAUGUACUGCUGGACUCAUCCAACCCUUCGUGGACAUCACUUUGUAGUAAAAAUCCCUUUUGUUGUUGAAGAAAGCCUGAGCUGGCUGGGUGAUUGAUUACUCAUAAAGUAUGUUAAUACCUUGAUGUUAAUAUUCUCAUGAGAGAAUUAUACUAUAGUCUUACGAUAGCACUAAAAGUAAUUUAAAGACCCCACCCUUCUCCAAAUAAAACCAACACUUGUGAAACCCUUGCUUUGCCAUUUACUAUCUAUUUUCCUGGACAAACUAUUAAAUGUGCCGAGUCUACACCUCCACCUCAGUUUAGGAUCAAUAAUCUAUAUCUUUUCUUUUUCAGUUUCAAUACAUAAAAAUAAGUGCCAUGAGUAGUUCUUGUAACCGAAUAGGCACUCAAAAGUGAAAUUAGGCUCUUCAUUUCUCCUGCUUUCUUAUCAUACAUCUUUAUGAUACUUUAAUUUGAGCUACAACCCCUGAGAUCCUCUUGAGAGUUAAUCACUGCUGAGAGACAAUACACAGACAGGACAACAGACAGAUCGCAUGUGACAACAGAGCUCUUACCCACAACCUCUGCAGCAAUUGCGCCCCGACAAUGGGGACUUAGUGAAUAACUGCUACCUGCCCUAUUUAUGCCCCCAACUCAGGAACGGCAGAUAAAUCCAGUAUGCUUCUCUAAUACUCACAUAAUUCUCAUUCUUUUAUUUUUAAUGUUUAUUUUGAUCUUCUACAAUUAAAAAAUCAGCUAACAAUCAUAGGUAUGAAUCCAUCAAUGCUUCCAACUUAUAAGCAUUCUUGUAUUAAGAAUUUUACUCUUUCAUUUUCCUGUGGUUGCUUUUUUCCCCUCAGGUUCUGCAAACACAUUUGUUGCCUAAAAUUGCACCUCUGAGAAAUUCCAGCACACUGGCAUAGUGUUCUGGACUCUUGCUGUGGUAUUACUGCCAGCAGUAUGCUUCCUUAUUAAAAAAUGUAGAGGCUCACUUGCAGCAAGUUUGAUAGCAGGAUGAUAAAAUGGCAGGGUAUUUUUAAACACAGAUUUUAUGAGAUGUAUUACAUAGAAUUAAAUUUAGACCAUAUAUCAAGGAAAUCACCAUAGAGCUUUGAGCGUGAUUCAGAUUAUCCUGGCAUUAGUUGGACCACUCUGUUGGCUAAACAAUGUCAUUGCCUGAGUGGGAAAUAAAUGCCCCAGUCUAUGGGGGCACUAUCGGGUUGGCUUGCUGGUCACAGCAACCUCCCCCCACAAGAUAUCUUAUCUGGAAGGGUCUGUAGGGCAGCAAUUGGUGGAAAUACACAGCAGAAGAAGAUUAUGACUCUUUCUCCAACACAUCCCCUCCUCAGUACACAUCCUCUGCUCCCACUGAUGGUACAAACAUCAGGGAUUUGACAGGACACACUCAAGAAACUGUUUUUUGUUUGUUUUUUUGUUUUUCUUUCUUUUUUUUUUUUUUUUCGUUUGUUUUUGGUAGGAUCAAUCUAAAUGUAAGGUUAUUUUGAUGGUUAAUAUUGAAUGUCAACUUUAUUGAAGGAUACAAAGUAUUGUUCCUGGAUGUGUCUGUGAGGGUGUUACUGAAGGAGAUUAACAUUUGUGUCAGUGAACUGGGAGAGGCAGACCCACCCUCAAUCUGGGUGGGCACCAUCUAAUCAGCUGCUAGGGCCACUAGAAUAAAAGCAGGCAGAAGAACGUGAAGGACUUGACCAGUUGAGUCUUCCAGCCUCCAUCUUUCUCCCAUGCUGGUUACUUCCUGCCCUUGAGUAUCAAACUCCAAGUUCUUCAGCUUUGGGACUCUUGGACCUUUGACCACAGACUGAAGGCCGCACCAUCAGCUUCCCUACUUUUGAGGUUUUGGGACUUGGACUGGCUUUCUUGCUUCUUAGCUUGCAGACAGCCUAUUGUAAGACUUCACCUUGUGAUCGUGUGAGUCAAAACUCCUUAAUGAACUCUUCCUCAUAUAUACAUCUAUCCUAUUAGUUCUGUCCCUCCAGAGAACCCUGACUAAUACAGUUACACUCCUGGUCCACAUUUGGGAUUCUGUAUGUAAACCUCAGAAUAAAUUCAACAAAAUUUGU